AUUGAACGCUGGCGGCAUGCCUUACACAUGCAAGUCGAACGGCAGCGCGGACUUCGGUCUGGCGGCGAGUGGCGAACGGGUGAGUAAUACAUCGGAACGUACCCUGUUGUGGGGGAUAACUAGUCGAAAGAUUAGCUAAUACCGCAUACGACCUGAGGGUGAAAGUGGGGGACCGCAAGGCCCCACGCAGCAGGAGCGGCCGAUGUCUGAUUAGCUAGUUGGUGGGGUAAAGGCCCACCAAGGCGACGAUCAGUAGCUGGUCUGAGAGGACGAUCAGCCACACUGGGACUGAGACACGGCCCAGACUCCUACGGGAGGCAGCAGUGGGGAAUUUUGGACAAUGGGGGCAACCCUGAUCCAGCAAUGCCGCGUGUGUGGAGAAGGCCUUCGGGUUGUAAAGCACUUUUGUCCGGAAAGAAAUCGCGCUGGUUAAUACCUGGCGUGGAUGACGGUACCGGAAGAAUAAGCACCGGCUAACUACGUGCCAGCAGCCGCAGUAA
rnacentral:rRNA from 1 species